UUCGCCUUCGGUCAUGAUAACGUUUUUUCUACAAUGACUACACCAAUUUGCUUGUGGAGAAUCUAAUUUCUGAGCAUCAAUUUUACGAGGAUCUUCGAUUUUUCCCCUUUCACCAAGUGAAGGUGACGCUGGGAUUUGCGAAAAUCUCCCUCGAUCAAUGGUCUUACUUGAGAGAGAAAGUAUCGCACCACAUCGCACAUCAUUCUUUCCAACAAAAUUAGGGUUCAAGACUCAAGAAUACCUCUUUCUCUUCGUUCUCAUUCGCAAAAAGAUCAUGAUGAUUAUUACUCUUCCCAUCCAUGGCGUCGCGCGC